AUGUUCCUUUGCAUGGAGAUAAUGAGCGAGGUGCCGACGGACGGCACGUCGGGAGUCCUCGACCUCAGCAGGAACCACUACUCGCUGGCCUCACGGGUUCUUCUGUCCCCGGACACGGUUGCCUUCUCCUACUGCCUGCCCAGAGGCUCCGAGUCCCAGGGCUUCCUCUCCUUCGGCACCAUCCGGCCCGAGCUCGCCGGCCGCAAUGUGAGUUACGCCACCCUGCACAGCAGAGCCCCCCCCCGCCGGAACCUCUACUUCCUGAGGCUCAUUGGCGUGAGUAUCGGCGGGCUGGACCUCCCGAUCUCCGCCGAGGCUCUCGCCGGCGACGCGCUGGUCGAGGUGCAGACCACGUUCACCUACCUGAAGCCGAAAGUGUACGAGUACCUGCGCGGCCUGUUCAGGCUGUGGAUGAUCAGUUACAAGGUGGCGCCAUCGUCCGGCGAGCUCGACACGUGCUACGACUUCACCGACAUGGACGCUAUCGGUGUGCCGAGCAUCACGCUCAGCUUUGAGGGUGGGGCGAGCCUGGAGCUCGGAUUGGAGCAGAUGAUGUACUUCAGCAACCCCCACAACAUCUUCUCGGUGGCGUGCCUCGCGUUCGCGCCGGCGCCGGCGUACGGGUCGGGCGUCUCCGUCAUCGGGUCGCUGGCGCAGGCGUACACGGAGGUGGUCUACGAUCUGCGUGGAGGCAAGGUCGGGUUCGUCGACAACCGCUGCUGA
rnacentral:rRNA from 1 species